AAGGAUGAAAGGAAAUUAGUAAGCACUGCUAACGCCUACAUACCGAGGUUAAACUCCGCGGCUUCCUUG
rnacentral:tRNA from 1 species